GAUGAACGCUGGCGGCGUGCCUAAUACAUGCAAGUAGAACGCUGAAGCUUGGUGCUUGCACCGAGCGGAUGAGUUGCGAACGGGUGAGUAACGCGUAGGUAACCUGCCUCUUAGCGGGGGAUAACUAUUGGAAACGAUAGCUAAUACCGCAUAAAAGUCGACAUUGCAUGAUGUUGAUUUGAAAGGUGCAAUUGCAUCACUAAGAGAUGGACCUGCGUUGUAUUAGCUAGUUGGUGAGGUAACGGCUCACCAAGGCGACGAUACAUAGCCGACCUGAGAGGGUGAUCGGCCACACUGGGACUGAGACACGGCCCAGACUCCUACGGGAGGCAGCAGUAGGGAAUCUUCGGCAAUGGGGGCAACCCUGACCGAGCAACGCCGCGUGAGUGAAGAAGGUUUUCGGAUCGUAAAGCUCUGUUGUAAGAGAAGAACGAGUGUGAGAGUGGAAAGUUCACACUGUGACGGUAACUUACCAGAAAGGGACGGCUAACUACGUGCCAGCCGCCGCCGUAACAC
rnacentral:rRNA from 1 species